GAUGAACGCUGGCGGCGUGCCUAAUACAUGCAAGUCGAGCGAACAGACGAGGGGCUUGCUCCUCUGACGUUAGCGGCGGACGGGUGAGUAACACGUGGAUAACCUACCUAUAAGACUGGGAUAACUUCGGGAAACCGGAGCUAAUACCGGAUAAUAUAUUGAACCGCAUGGUUCAAUAGUGAAAGACGGUUUUGCUGUCACUUAUAGAUGGAUCCGCGCCGCAUUAGCUAGUUGGUAAGGUAACGGCUUACCAAGGCGACGAUGCGUAGCCGACCUGAGAGGGUGAUCGGCCACACUGGAACUUAGACACGGUCCAGACUCCUACGGGAGGCAGCAGUAGGGAAUCUUCCGCAAUGGGCGAAAGCCUGACGGAGCAACGCCGCGUGAGUGAUGAAGGUCUUCGGAUCGUAAAACUCUGUUAUUAGGGAAGAACAAAUGUGUAAGUAACUAUGCACGUCUUGACGGUACCUAAUCAGAAAGCCACGGCUAACUACGUG
rnacentral:rRNA from 1 species